UUCGGGGGUAAACGGACAGAGCCCGUGAAUCCGGGCGUCAGUGUUCAGAAGCGACGACGUUCGCGCGUCGUCGUCGUUUUGAUAUUUCUGGCGCCGCGGACGUCGCGACCCGUUUGGUGUCGGUCUGAGGGGUCGCGUUUCACGUUCGUUUUGCGCGCGCGUGUGUAUCCCUUGCGGGGAUGCGCGCGUACGCGUUUACGAGUACGCGUACACCUAAUACGCCCCGGCUGACUAGCCAGACGGUACGAUGGGUGACCGGGUGCGACCGCGCGUCGCAUCCGGUGCCGGUCUGCGACGAAUCUUCGGGCCUCUUUCCGACCCGUCUUGAAACACGGACCAAGGAGUCUAACGUGCGCGCGAGUCGCGGGGUGUCGGGUAGCGUACCGCGCUACCCGUUAGAUAACGAAACCCGUGUUGAGCCGAUGAAGGCGCAAUGAAAGUGAAACGCGCGUGUGUUGCGGGGAAGAUGGCGUUACCGAGUACACGUUCCGCGCGCUUUGGUCGCGCGGCCGGUCGCCCGCAUUCCCGGGGCGUCCCAACGGCACGUCGGCGUGGGGGCGCGUCGUCUUCACAGCGGCGGCGGUCUCGCGUCGACGAACCGGGGCGCACCUAUAGCGUGCACGUUGGUACCCGAAAGAUGGUGAACUAUGCCCGGCCAGGAUGAAGUCAGGGGAAACCCUGAUGGAGGUCCGCAGCGAUUCUGACGUGCAAAUCGAUCGUCUGAGCUGGGUAUAGG
rnacentral:rRNA from 1 species